rnacentral:piRNA from 1 species
GCAGGACGUUGAACUUGGGUAGG